UAUAUUCUAUAAAUAUAAUCGAAAAACACCUACGAACAUAACUUAAGGUAUUAAAUCAUUUUCCAUCCAAGCGAUUUUUCGGUAUAAAUACUGUAUCACAUAAACCACUCUCCAUAGUUUUGCCAAAAACAAACAACCACAGCACCAACCAUCAACAUGAAGUUUGCAAUUUUUGCUUUUUUCCUGGCCAUGAUCACCAUUGCUCAGGGGUACAUGUACCCUAGUUAUGGCUCCGCAUAUUAUCCUGGCUAUUACUAUCGCAAGAGCGCCUCCGGUGAAAAUGUCUACGACUACAACAAUUCUCUAGGAGACAAAUGUGUUUGCACCGCGGCAGCUCCACAAAAUGGAUGUUGAUUAGGAUGUCAGGUCACAUGGUUUUAAUUAGUCCUUUAAUUCUUUAGAGACUAAUCUAAAACUUUGCAAUAAAUAAAUAACACUUAAACAA